AUUGAACGCUGGCGGAAUGCUUUACACAUGCAAGUCGAACGGCAGCACGGGGGCAACCCUGGUGGCGAGUGGCGAACGGGUGAGUAAUACAUCGGAACGUACCCGGUCGUGGGGGAUAACGUAGCGAAAGUUACGCUAAUACCGCAUACGAUCUGAGGAUGAAAGCGGGGGACCUUCGGGCCUCGCGCGAUCGGAGCGGCCGAUGUCAGAUUAGGUAGUUGGUGGGGUAAAGGCCUACCAAGCCGACGAUCUGUAGCUGGUCUGAGAGGACGACCAGCCACACUGGGACUGAGACACGGCCCAGACUCCUACGGGAGGCAGCAGUGGGGAAUUUUGGACAAUGGGCGCAAGCCUGAUCCAGCCAUUCCGCGUGCAGGACGAAGGCCUUCGGGUUGUAAACUGCUUUUGUAUGGAACGAAAAGGCUCUGGCUAAUACCUGGGGCUCAUGACGGUACCGUAAGAAUAAGCACCGGCUAACUACGUG
rnacentral:rRNA from 1 species